GUGGAGCUUGCGGAAUUGCCGAAUGGAAGAGAUUGUGCUUAAUUCGGCCACUGAAUGGCCUUUAAAUAGGUGCAGAGGGGCCACGCUGUUUAGGAAAAUUGCUGGCCUGGGAGUGGAUCGAGUGUGCGAGUGUCUACGUGAAGCUGGAGUGGAGGCGCGUGAAAAUGGGAAGUGCAUUGCUGAGGAGCUUUGGUUCGUGUGAGCGUGAGUUGCUGGAGCACUUUGGUGGAGCCCAUGUGCGCGCGCUUUGAUGAAGUGAAUUGGAGUGCUGCUUUGGUCCCGUGCAAGUGGAGUCCAUGCGCUCGGCUUGGCCCACUGGAGGGAUUGGCGUUGAAUGCAGGCCAUACGAGCUGGGUCCUCGCGAAUGGCUUGGUCCACGUGCUGGUGAUCGGCCCAUUUGCGUGAAUUCUUUGGUCCAAGUGCUUCAAUAUUUAAGCUUUAAAAUAUUUUCCCCACUCAGCUUGUCUUGAAUCCAAUUUGGCAGACUUUCUCUCUUUUGCUCCAAAUAAUGCGGUUUUAGGGGGAUUUUCUCCAAAUUGUCCUUUUAUACCAUUUUCUGCAAAAUAAUAUUAAAAGCAAUAAAUUAAGCAGAAAUCAUGUAAAUAUUUAUCAAUAAUAUUAAUAUAAAAUGGACUAAUUUAUGCUCUAUCA
rnacentral:lncRNA from 1 species